AGCAAUGACCCACCGAGUUGCCAUUCUCCCAUGUAGUUUUGACAAGGUAGUUUUAUUACCUUAAUUUAACACAAGAUAAAUUUAAUUUGCUGCUUCGGGUACAAAAACAAGGUAGAAAACGAAAACAUCUAUAAGAAAUGAAAACAAGGAAGAAGUGCAAAUCGAUGACACCACCUUAUAUGACGUUUGAUCAAACACACAUUGGCGGAUGUCGUUAAACUUGUAAAACCAGGAUUUUGCAACCCAACAAUAACUUGAAUUUACGAUUUGUGCGCCUGGUAAUUGGAGAGUUUAUAUUGUACCUUAAAUAACAAAGCACAAAGAAGUUUGACAUAAAUCUUGUUAUUUAUUUUGUAUAGUAAAAACACACAAUAUUUCUUAGAGAAAACAUAUAGUGAUUUAAUCUUCGCAAAAGUUUAACCUAUAUAUUUUUUAUACUUUAUAAUAUGAAAAGCGACCACACUUUAUGGUUGUAGGCCAGUAUUCGUUUUCUUAUGGUUUAUUCUUCAGUCGCUUCAACAAACCAGGUAUGUUAAAAGUAAUUAAUUCGCUUUAAUUAGAUUUUCACUUUAGUAAUUGCUUCUUACGUAGUCAUCCACGCUUUGUACAGUCAUAUUUAGUCGAA